UCGUAAUAUUAUGAGAAUAAAGUCAUAAUAUUAGGUCUACGAGAAUAAAGUCGCAAUAUUACGAGAAUAAAGUCAUAAUAUUAGGUCUACGAGAAUAAAGUCGUAACAUUACGAGAAUAAAGUCGUAAUAUUACGAGAAUAAAGGCAUAAUAUUAGGUCUACGAGAAUAAAGUUGUAAUAUUACGAGAAUAAAGUCGUAACAUUACGAGAAUAAAGUUGUAAUAUUACGAGAAUAAAGGCAUAAUAUUAGGUCUACAAGAAUAAAGUCGUAACAUUACGAGAAUAAAGUUGUAAUAUUACGAGAAUAAAGGCAUAAUAUUAGGUCUACGAGAAUAAAGUCGUAACAUUACGAGAAUAAAGUCGUAAUAUUACGAGAAUAAAGGCAUAAUAUUAGGUCUACGAGAAUAAAGUCGUAAUAUUACGAGAAUAAAGUCGUAACAUUACGAGAAUAAAGUUGUAAUAUUACGAGAAUAAAGUCAUAAUAUUAGGUCUACGAGA